UGUGUUUUCGUUAUCCUGCGGGGAAGCA
rnacentral:piRNA from 1 species